rnacentral:rRNA from 1 species
CAGUAGCCGCGGGAAUACGAAGGGUGCAAGCGUUAAUCGGAAUUACUGGGCGUAAAGCGCGCGUAGGUGGUUCAUUAAGUUGGAUGUGAAAGCCCUGGGCUCAACCUGGGAACUGCAUCCAAAACUGGUGAGCUAGAGUACGGUAGAGGGUAGUGGAAUUUCCUGUGUAGCGGUGAAAUGCGUAGAUAUAGGAAGGAACACCAGUGGCGAAGGCGACUACCUGGACUGAUACUGACACUGAGGUGCGAAAGCGUGGGGAGCAAACAGGAUUAGAUACCCGAGUAGUCCCUGUCUCUUAUAC